GGCAGCACAGAGAAGCUUGCUUCUUGGGUGGCGAGUGGCGAACGGGUGAGUAACAUAUCGGAACGUACCGAGUAAUGGGGGAUAACUAAUCGAAAGAUUAGCUAAUACCGCAUAUUCUCUGAGGAGGAAAGCAGGGGACCUUCGGGCCUUGCGUUAUUCGAGCGGCCGAUAUCUGAUUAGCUAGUUGGUGGGGUAAAGGCCUACCAAGGCGACGAUCAGUAGCGGGUCUGAGAGGAUGAUCCGCCACACUGGGACUGAGACACGGCCCAGACUCCUACGGGAGGCAGCAGUGGGGAAUUUUGGACAAUGGGCGCAAGCCUGAUCCAGCCAUGCCGCGUGUCUGAAGAAGGCCUUCGGGUUGUAAAGGACUUUUGUCAGGGAAGAAAAGGCUGUUGCUAAUACCGACAGCUGAUGACGGUACCUGAAGAAUAAGCACCGGCUAACUACGUGC
rnacentral:rRNA from 1 species